GAUGAACGCUAGCGGCAGGCCUAACACAUGCAAGUCGAGGGGUAGCAGGAUUAAGCUUGCUUAAUUGCUGACGACCGGCGCACGGGUGCGUAACGCGUAUGCAACCUACCUUAUACUGGGGUAUAGCCCGGAGAAAUUCGGAUUAAUCCCCCAUAGUACUAAUGAAUCGCAUGGUUUAUUAGUUAAAGCAUUGCGGUAUAAGAUGGGCAUGCGUCCUAUUAGCUAGAUGGUGAGGUAACGGCUCACCAUGGCUACGAUAGGUAGGGGGCCUGAGAGGGUGGGCCCCCACACUGGAACUGAGCCACGGACCAGACUCCUACGGGAGGCAGCAGUGAGGAAUAUUGGUCAAUGGGCGCAAGCCUGAACCAGCCAUGCCGCGUGCAGGAAGAAUGCCCUAUGGGUUGUAAACUGCUUUUAUUUGGGAAUAAACCUCUUUACGUGUAGAGAGCUGAAGGUACCAAAUGAAUAAGCACCGGCUAACUCCGUGCCAGCCGCCGCCGUAA
rnacentral:rRNA from 1 species